rnacentral:rRNA from 1 species
CGGGAGGCAGCAGUGAGGAAUAUUGGGCAAUGGACGCAAGUCUGACCCAGCCAUGCCGCGUGCAGGAUGACUGCCCUAUGGGUUGUAAACUGCUUUUGUAUGGGAAGAAACCCCCGAUCGUGAUCGGGGCUGACGGUACCAUACGAAUAAGCAUCGGCUAACUCCGUGCCAAGCAGCCGCGGUAAUACGGAGGAUGCAAGCGUUAUCCGGAUUCAUUGGGUUUAAAGGGUGCGCAGGCGGAAUAUUAAGUCAGUGGCGAAAUCCUGCAGCUUUAACUGUAGAAACUGCCAUUGAUACUGAUAUUCUUGAAUAUAGUUGAGGUGGGCGGAAUGUGUAAUGUAGCGGUGAAAUGCUUAGAUAUUACACAGAACACCAAUUGCGAAGGCAGCUCACUAAACUAAUAUGGACGCUGAGGCACGAAAGCGUGGGUAGCAAACAGGAUUAGAUACCCUGGUAGUCCACGCUGUAAACUAUGAUCACUCGCUGUUGGCAAUACAUCGUCAGCGGCUGAGCGAAAGCAUUAAGUGAUCCACCUGGGGAGUACGGUCGCAAGAUUGAAACUCAAAGGAAUUGACGGGGGCCCGCACAAGCGGAGGAACAUGUGGUUUAAUUCGAUGAUACGCGAGGAACCUUACCUGGGCUUAAAUGCAGAGCGACGUCCGCCGAAAGGUGGAUUCCUUCGGGCGAUCUGCAAGGUGCUGCAUGGUUGUCGUCAGCUCGUGCCGUGAGGUGUCGGGUUAAGUCCCAUAACGAGCGCAACCCUUAUCGUUAGUUGCCAGCGGGUAAUGCCGGGGACUCUAACGAAACUGCCGGUGUAAACCGUGAGGAAGGUGGGGAUGACGUCAAAUCAGCACGGCCCUUAUGUCCAGGGCUACACACGUGUUACAAUGGUCGGUACAGAGGGCAGCUACCACGCAAGUGGAUGCUAAUCUCGAAAACCGGUCUCAGUUCGGAUUGAAGUCUGCAACUCGACUUCAUGAAGCUGGAUUCGCUAGUAAUCGCGCAUCAGCCAUGGCGCGGUGAAUACGUUCCCGGGCCUUGUACACACCGCCCGUCAAGCCAUGGAAGCUUGGGGUACCUGAAGUCCGU